GGCAGAUCAUGCAUCGUGACACCACACAAGACUCAACAAAGCCGCGGAUGGUGAGAAACAAGGAAAGAAGAAAGAAUCUCUCAACGAGAGGGAACCCAACGGAGGACGGCCAUCGUCACUUCAGUUGACGGCAGAUCGGGCGGACCAGCUUGGCCACUGUGCCGUUCUCUGCGUUUAUUUCCUGUUGUUUUUUGCCUUGCUUGUGUUUUCCUGCUUCCCCGUUGUGACUUGAUAGAGUGUGUAUCCGCUUUCCCAGCGAGCAGGAGUAAGCGUCAAAUUGUCAUGUCUUCUGGGUGUGAGAGGACACGGACUGCCCUCAGCUGUUGACGCUGACUGUAGUGACCAGCACGAAUCCACCGCAGAUUCAUGCAUUUCGUUCUCGGUGUAGUGCCUACGCUGUGCGGCCACAGUUUUCCUGUCUACGAGUAGUACGAGCGGAGGCAAUAGGCGUUCGGCGUUGUGCACAAGGUUGCCUUCUCCCUGUUCCCUCGGGAAUUGUUGUGCCGGCUGCUGCAACGAUUAAGGAAAGUUCAGGUUUCGUAUGUAUCCCUGGUAUGAUUCAGCUGACAGCAGUCCUGCUCCGAGGGCCAUUCGAACGGAUCGUGUCGACUGCGAAACGGCAACUUGCACUGGCUUUAACAAUCUACUACGACUUCUUCCACGCCAGGGUCUGGACGGCGGCGGUGGUUGUAACUAACUUGGCAUAGAGGUGCACGCUAUCAAAAGAAAAAUGGUGUUCUUGCUAUCGUCUCCAGUUACAAAAUCUUUUUUUUUCGUCCUGCAUGUUCGCUGUGCAGCACUGUUUAGCGGGGGGUACGGCGUAGCCACAAUUGCGGCACACAAACGACGUGGUCCUGCAGUAUGCGUCUCUCUGAUUACCUGUUGACGCAAGGGUAGCCGAUUUGGCAAGACUGUUAUGUCAAUGUCCACACAUACAGGAACACGUGUCCGGCCUUCAGGAGUAACUAAACCUGCACAAGGCAAAAGCACUCGGUUCCUUAAUGCAUUGUACAGAGCAGUAAAGGCGGGAAUUGUUGACUACCG
rnacentral:lncRNA from 1 species